rnacentral:misc_RNA from 1 species
UCAGUUGGAAGGCAACAUUGCAAGUUACAGUUGCUUUGUCUACCACAGAAGCUGAAUAUAUGGCCUUAACAGAGACAGUAAAGAAAGUUUUAUGAUUAUAAAGUUUAGUGGGUGAUCUUGAGUUGAUACAGAACAAAGCAAUAGUAUUUUGUGAUAGCCAGAGUGCAAUAUAUCUCACAAAAAAUCAGAUGUAACAUGAGCGAACUAAGCACUUUGAUGUCAGAUAUCACUUCGUUCGGAACAUUGUAUCUCAGGGGACUGUAG